rnacentral:lncRNA from 1 species
AUUCCAACCACUGCAAGAUAACCAUCGUGCAAGUAUUCUGAUUGUUUUUCUUCCUCUCUGAUAAGGUUUUGAAAGUAAUAAAAGAAGAUGCCCCAAGGAAACAAGAUAACGGGAUUAAAGUGAGAAAAGGAGAGAACCACCAGGCAAUGUCUCUGAGAUGCUCUCGAUGACCUGCAGACAAAUCCUUCCUUUUAAUUGUCACUAAAGGGAUUAUACAAUUUCCUCCUCAGAUGUAAAGUGUUGUGACCAGCAGAGCGUAAUUAAAGUGCAUUCCAGAGGGAAAGACAGCGGCUCAGAUGAGGCUUCAGGCUUGACCAACUCUGACUGGCUGGCUGCCGAGACACUGCUACUCAAUGGCCCUUACCAAAUGGCCUCAUUUGAUCAUCACGUGAUCUCCAGAAGCUGGACUUGAUUAUUCUUGCCAAACAAAAUGCUGAAACCAACAAUCUGAAAGGUAGUUCUUGCUAAGUAAGGGAGAGCUGUGAUUGUAGAGUGUGGUCACCCUGAACAGAGCAGACUGCUCGUGGAGCUCCAAGACUGGCAGACUUGGGAGGGGGAGCAUUUAGAGACUGGA